rnacentral:tRNA from 1 species
AAGGCCCUAGCUUAAUUAAAGCGUCUGGGUUGCAUUCAGGAGAUGUAGGUUAGUGCCCUACGGGUCUUA